rnacentral:sRNA from 1 species
AGAAACGGGGCUUGGCGCCCCCCGCGUGCACGUGUGCUAGCCCAGGCAGGAGGGAGCGCCUCGGCGGAGGACUCAAGGAAGAGGGGGAGGGAGAAACGCGCCAGAACCUCGGUCCCGGGCGCCCUGGUCGGCCGCGGAGGAGCUGCAGCCUCCAACAGGAAGGUGUGGUCCCUGCCAUGCUAUCUGCUCUGCUCAGCGACUGAAGGCGCCUGCAUCCCAGCUCUGCCAGGAAGCAAAGACAGACGGGUGGCUUUCAGACAGAAAGGAGCUGGACCAGAAGGCUGGAAGAUGGAUUCGGGGCAUACUGUGCAAGACCUUUGCCAGAGCCUGAGCAAUUUCCAUCUCUAUUCAGCUGGAUGGGCGUGGGGUGAAUAAAUUCAUUCAGUUCAUUGUUGUUCCACAGCUAACGAUAAAGCUGGGAGCUGGGUCCAAAUGGUGACCUGGCUGUCUACCAGCUGCUUGGCCAUGGGCAACCCCCAACCCCUCUGAGCCUUGGUUUCCUUAUCUGUAAAAUGUACAUGAUGCUCCCUGUUGGUUGGGUCAGCCUCCCCAGUGUUACCAAGCCAUG